CCAAAAACCUUCAAGAAUCAUAUGAAAGAGAACAGUUUGAUUUUGUACCUACAGGAAAAUAAUCUAUCUUCAUGCAUGUCUCCUCGAUCAACAUGCAUGUUGAAGGAUCAUUUUGCUGUGAAGUGGCAGUCCUUGGGCUUCAGGUGGAUGCAUGUUAAUGGUGGGGUUGAUCCAUGUGUAUUGAUAUCCAUAAUGAUUUUAUUUUGGUAUUCUUCCAUCUAAGAUUUCAAAGGACUUCAUAAGUGUCUGAAUUAAAAGUUGCAGCAAUUCUCUUAAAAAAUCUAAGCCGUCUUAAAUAUAAGCUCCUCAAGGGCACAAUUUUCACUAUGUGAGCAACUCAAACUCACUAAGCAUAAUAUUAUCUUUGAAUAGUCAUUAAUUAUUUACUGUCUAUCUUAAAGGUAAAAUGUAUACUUGUUAUUCCUAUGUGUCCUGAAACUAAUAAAAACUUCCAUUCUCACAGUUCCUUUUAUUAUUUAGUUCUGAAUUACGAAAAAAAGGGAAAUCUAACAAACUAAUGAAAUCUACAAGGUUAAUAACCAGUAUCAGCUUAAUUAAAACUCUUCUAUUGCUAGAGAUAUCUAUAUUUUGAAAGAUAGAGCUUCUCUUAAUUUACUUAGAAUAAA
rnacentral:lncRNA from 10 species